UACGGGAGGGGCAAGCGUUGUUCGGAAUUACUGGGCGUAAAGGGCUCGUAGGUGGCCAACUAAGUCAGGCGUGAAAUCCCUCGGCUUAACUGGGGAACUGCGUCUGAUACUGGCGGGCUUGAGUGCAGGAGAGGAACGCGGAAUUCCAGGUGUAGCGGUGAAAUGCGUAGAUAUCUGGAGGAACACCGGUGGCGAAGGCGGCGUUCUGGACUGCAACUGACACUGAGAAACGAAAGCCAGGGUAGCAAACGGG
rnacentral:rRNA from 1 species